GCUUACGACCAUAUCACCCAGAAUGCGCCCGAUCUCGUCUGAUCUAGGAAGCUAAGCAGGGUCGAGCUUGGAUAGUACUUGGAUGGGAGACUGCCUGGAAAUACCAGGUGUUGUAGGCU
rnacentral:rRNA from 1 species